GGUUAAUGCAGCCACCUGGUAGCACCUUGGCUUGGGAAACCAAGGCGCGUGGGUUCGAAACCCGCAGGGAAUA
rnacentral:tRNA from 1 species